AGGUGAUAACUGAGACUACAGACAAGUGAAGCAAGUUACUGCUUUAGAAGCCGACGAGGUGAUAACUGAGACUACAGACAAGUGAAGCAAGUUACUGCUUUAGAAGCCGACGAGGUGAUAACUGAGACUACAGACCAGUGAAGCAAGUUACUGCUUUAGAAGCCGACGAGGUGAUAACUGAGACUACAGACAAGUGAAGCAAGUUACUGCUUUAGAAGCCGACGAGGUGAUAACUGAGACUACAGACAAGUGAAGCAAGUUACUGCUUUAGAAGCCGA